rnacentral:lncRNA from 1 species
CUUUAGGGUAAAAUCAAAUUAGUAGCUUGUGAUUUUUUUUUCUCUUCGUCAGCUUCUCCGUUAAUAUUUCGUUAAAUUAUAUAUAAAAUAUUUUAGAUACUCUACGAAUAUUCACUUUAGGUUUCGUUUGGGAUUACGGGGAGAUUGCAUUACGUGCGGUCAAAAAGUACGUUGGAAAAAUGCCAUGUUUGUUUCCGUACCUAAUAUUGCGUUCCGCAUAUCGCGAUGAGUCGGUUACAAUAUAUUUUCUGCGGUCCCACCGGAGAACGCAGAAGCAUAUCCCUAUAUGCUUUUUUCUUCAAUUCUAUUUUAUCUAAUAGGGUCAGAUAGGUCUCAAUACCAAACUAAGCCUUAGUACUCUUUAGCUUUAACUUUGCCAUUGAUUUAAUAAAAAAAAAUUAGUAUAAUAAAUAAUAAAAAGAGAAAAAUAAAAUUACGGAGUACUAAAUUGAUAUACUUUAAACCAUAGUGUACUAAAGUGAGAAAGUGUGAAACCACAAAGGUGAUAUUUAAAGUUUUUCUUUUUUCAAAGUAAAAACUUAUAUAGAAUUUAUCUAAACUUAGUUUAAAUCUGUAUAGCUAUCUAAUCAUUUAAAAUUUUUAUUCUUAUAUUUAAAUUUUAAAUUUAUUAGCUGAUUCAAAUUAAAUAAAUUAAAAGAUUGAAAAAUAAAAUCAAAAUUUUAAAAGAUUUAUAGCUUACUCAAAAUAAUUUG